ACUCCUACGGGAGGCAGCAGUGGGGAAUAUUGCACAAUGGGCGCAAGCCUGAUGCAGCCAUGCCGCGUGUGUGAAGAAGGCCUUCGGGUUGUAAAGCACUUUCAGUCGUGAGGAAGGUAGUGUAGUUAAUAGCUUUAGCUUGACUUUUUGAACGUUAGCGAACAGAAGAAGCACCGGCUAACUCCGUGCCAGCAGCCGCGGUAAUACGGAGGGUGCGAGCGUUAAUCGGAAUUACUGGGCGUAAAGCGCAUGCAGGUGGUUUGUUAAGUCAGAUGUGAAAGCCCGGGGCUCAACCUCGGAAUUGCAUUUGAAACUGGCAGACUAGAGUACUGUAGAGGGGGGUAGAAUUUCAGGUGUAGCGGUGAAAUGCGUAGAGAUCUGAAGGAAUACCGGUGGCGAAGGCGGCCCCCCUGGACAGAUACUGACACUCAGAUGCGAAAAGCGU
rnacentral:rRNA from 1 species